UACGUAGGUGGCAAGCGUUGUCCGGAUUUACUGGGCGUAAAGAGCGCGCAGGCGGUCGUGCAAGUCGCGUGUGAAAGCCCCCGGCUCAACUGGGGAGGGUCACGCGAUGCUGCUCGACUCGAAGGCAGGAGAGGGAAGUGGAAUUCCCGGUGUAGUGGUGAAAUGCGUAGAUAUCGGGAGGAACACCAGUGGCGAAGGCGACUUCCUGGCCUGUUCUUGACGCUGAGGCGCGAAAGCUAGGGUAGCAAACGGG
rnacentral:rRNA from 1 species